rnacentral:rRNA from 1 species
GACGGAGGAUGCAAGUGUUAUCCGGAAUCACUGGGCGUAAAGCGUCUGUAGGUGGUUCGAAAAGUCCACUGUUAAAAAUUGAGGCUUAACUUCAAAGAUGCCGUGGAAACUUUCAAACUAGAGUAUGGUAGGGGUAGAGGGAAUUUCCAGUGGAGCGGUGAAAUGCGUAGAGAUUGGAAAGAACACCAACGGCGAAAGCACUCUGCUGGGCCGACACUGACACUGAGAGACGAAAGCUAGGGGAGCGAAUGGG